CUACCUACGGGAGGCAGCAGUGGGGAAUAUUGGGCAAUGGGCGCAAGCCUGACCCAGCAACGCCGCGUGAAGGAAGAAGGCUUUCGGGUUGUAAGCUUCUUUUGUCAGGGACGAAGCAAGUGACGGUACCUGACGAAUAAGCCACGGCUAACUACGUGCCAGCAGCCGCGGUAAUACGUAGGUGGCAAGCGUUAUCCGGAUUUAUUGGGUGUAAAGGGCGUGUAGGCGGGAAUGCAAGUCAGAUGGGAAAACUAUGGGCUCAACCCAUAGCCUGCAUUUGAAACUGUAUUUC
rnacentral:rRNA from 1 species